UAUCUUUCAAGAAGAAGUGACAUUGGAUAGGCUGGACUAUAAAACUGCUGGCAAGAAGAAAACAUUAGCGGUUGCUAAUAAAAUAGCAUAAAAUCCUACAAUGAAAACUUGAAAAGAAAAAAUGUGCCAGGCCUACCCUCCUCGAGGGGCCUUAAGACACCCUUGACGAGCUGACUCACUGUAGCCCAAACUUCAGUGGGAACUCCAGAUCACAAGAUAUUCAGAAUUGAAAUGGAUGCCAAGUAUACAGGAUUUUUCUGCUUUCAUCUUUGCAUUUCAGUCUCUACUAACAUGACAUUCAUCAUCAUUUGGGAUGAAAAACUUCAGUGAGGAUCAAAAUGGAGACAGAUAGUCACUGUGGAAAAUUAAAUCAGUGUGGUGGAAGAUGGAGGAAAGAUACUUUUCCAUUCUCAGAAGCAAAGAACAAAGACGAGAAAUUUGUAGGUGAAUUGCUAUUUUACAGAAGUGUUCAGCCUUCCCCUGAAGGCAGGAGUUGAGUUGAGGAACAGGAUGAAGAAGAGAAAGCCUCUGACUUUUUGAAGACUUCAACCAACGAAAGACAACAUUGCAAGCUGCAAAAUAAAAUACGUGUGUUUAUUUGGGGUCUUAGGUAAUAUAUACAUGUGAUAGAAAAUUGAAGAUACCGAAGGGUGUGUACUAAGAAACAAGCCUCUCUGAACUCUGUCUAUAGGGGAUGCACUUCACUUUCAGACCUCGAUCUCAAAAAUACUCAUCUGGACAAAGAUGGUUGCAUAGAUGGUCAUUUGGUAAGAGAUUAUUGGAAGACAUUGCUGCUCUGUGAAUCUGGGAUCCCGCUUUUCCUGAACAGAACAAUUGAUAGCAACGAAGCUUCCUUCACACUGAAGACCAGCUCCAGGCAGGAAGAAAUGAAGCACUCCAGGAUUCAGGGGAUAUGUCCGAUGUCUCCAUAAACACCUGUUACUGUUCUCAGUUUACCUGGUCCCUAAGAAACCAUCCUAAUGGGACUUCAUUCGUUACUGAUGUACAUACAGAAUUCAACACCUGCAGCCAGCCUGAAGACUUCAGGGUUGCAACACUGUGCUUUACCACCUAGUUCCCUGCCAGGAAUGUAGCUCUUAGCAAGAGCUUGUUAUCAUGAUUGUUACUAUUACUGAAGAAAUAAUGAAUCUUUACUGGUGGUUGUGGGGACUCAUUCUUCCUCUUUGCUAACCUCUAUUCGUGCCUCAAAUGGAAGAGAUGACUAAGUUUACUCUCCCAAAUGAAGAGGAGGCUGUUUUUACAUAUCUUAUGCUUAGGUCCUGCUGGAGUCAAUUUGCUUAUCCCCUCAUCAAUACCCAAAGCCAAAGAUAGGACAUGUCUUACUUAUAAUAAAGCCACCACACAAUACUUGCAUAUGUUCCUGUGGUUGACCGUUUAGUAUAUCAACACUUGAAUACUCUUCAGUGUUUGGCUCUUUGCAAUUCGGGGUGUUUUUCUCAGGGUCUGACACACACAGUUAAAUGGUUAAAUAUCUACUCUGCUGCAUUUCUACUAAAAAGAACUAAUGUUUGGCUUGUUUCUAAUAUAACUCAUUAUCGACACCAUCUAGGA